AGAUACACAGAUACAAGAUGAAACUGCUACUUUUCCUGAAGAACGCUGGUUUGUUUACAGUCUUCCAGAGAAGGAUGAGAUUGGUAAAUAUAUAUCUUUUAGGACUAAAAGACUUAAGCGUCUCAAUUCUCAACCAAGUUUGUAGGAGUUUAUUGCUGGCCAAAACCCUCAUUGCAUAGUGAUGGAGUAUUGGUUUCGGUGGAAAUCUCUAUAUGGUGGCCAGAGUAGAUUCCUCCUUUGUUUUUGGACUCAAGAGACCUUCAUUAUUGUAAUCAUUGUAUAUAAUUCUUUUGUAUUUUAUUUGAGUGGAAUACGAAAUGAGAUGAUUUUUUGUAAUUUAA